rnacentral:rRNA from 1 species
UACGAAGGGGGCUAGCGUUGUUCGGAAUCACUGGGCGUAAAGGGCGCGUAGGCGGCCGCUCAAGUCGGGGGUGAAAGCCUGUGGCUUAACCACAGAAUUGCCUUCGAUACUGUUUGGCUUGAGACCGGAAGAGGUUAGUGGAACUGCGAGUGUAGAGGUGAAAUGCGUAGAUAUCGGGAGGAACACCAGUGGCGAAGGCGGUUGCCUGGAGCUUUGCUGACGCUGAUGCGCGAAAGCGUGGGGAGCGAUCCGG